GCUCAUUUCAGUAGUGCAUAUCCUAAAACUGGAAAGAUACCAAGAAAAUUAGCCGAGCCCCUGUCCAAAGACGACACCUAAAUUGGUGAAGCAUUCCACAUUUUU
ensembl:snRNA U6 U6 spliceosomal RNA